ensembl:lncRNA
CUGUGUUGUGACUGCCUGAACCAAAUGAUAGUCUUCUGAAAGAGAAGCGAAGGCUCUUAGCCACUGAGCCAUUUCUUUACCCCCACACUCCCAAAUGUAAUCUUUCUAAAAUUAGGCUCUAUAAAAGAUUAUUUUGUGCUUAAUAAUUUAUUUGUCAAGUAAACUGUAUCAUGUUGCUGCUAAGUUUUUUUAAAUAGGGUUUUGACCUUCCUCACUAGGUGAGGCGGCCUUGAGGCCUUGAGACCUCUGCCUCUACCUCCUGAGCUGUCAAAUAUAACUAUCUCCACUCUUAGAAAUCAAGUGCUGCAUGCUGGGUUUGCCAAGAAUGUGUUUGCCCACAGAGCUACUUUCCCAGACAAACACUGGAGACUAGGUAGAAAAUGGAGUGCUAGGAUUGUAAGCUUUUAAGUCUGGCUGCCACUACAAUGUAGUCCUUUUAGUGCCUCUACUCAUCUGAUACACAUUAGCUGUGAUAAGCUUGAACCAGAAGAUCCAAAUGCAGGUUAGAAUUUCCUUGUUUUCCUGUGCUGUGUAUGCAAGCCAUUGUUUUUGAGUAGCUUUUUAAAUAGAAGUCAUCAGUUGUAGUUACUUGAAAAGUUAGACUUGCAUGCAAAGAGAAUGGGACUUGAAGAAUAUGUGGGUGGGUCCAAAAUUGAAAAAAUUAACUAAGGAGUCAGGAGCUCUAGGCUCUUGUCUGUGAUUUGUUUCUAGUUAAUAGUGUUGGCUUAAAAACAGAUUUACCAGGGCUGGGGAUUUAGCUCAGUGUUAGAGCGCUUACCUAGGAAGCACAAGGCCCUGGGUUCAGUCCCCAGCUCCGAAAAAAAGAACCAAAAAAAACAAAACAAACAAACAAAAAAAAAAACAGAUUUACCUACUUGAAGAUCUUUUGGUUUUUAAAAGGCCAGAAUAUCUUAUCUUCUCAUUUCUCCUAGCUUAAAGCUCUUUGACUGUACGAGGAGUGUUCUGUAAAAUGUCUUGAAUAACCUCAGGUGCCUGUGUUUGAGGUUGCAGUUACAAUUGAGUCUUACAAAAGUAGUUAGACUUUUGAC